rnacentral:miRNA from 1 species
UGAUGACGAUGGUGAUGACGGUGAUGAUGGUGAUGGUGAUAAAGCUGUGGUGAUGAUAAUGGAUAUGUAUAUCCAUCAUUAUCAUCAUCAUCUUCCUCCUCG